rnacentral:lncRNA from 1 species
GCCACAAGAUCUAACAAUAUGUUUUUUCUAGUAGAUUUGUUUCCCAGUGAAUUCAGUGCUUUAUGUUUUUUUUUUUUUGUAAAGACUGAUUAUCUUUUGCUCGAUUUAUAGUGGUUCGAUGUUGAAAAAUUAAUAGAAAAUUAUAAAAAAUUCAAAAGGAAACAACUUAAGAAAUUAUUUUGUGUGUGUUAUCACUUUUAGCUGGAUUUUUUUU